AUCUAGUGAGGAAAUGCGAUGUAAAAUGGGAGCAGACCUAGAAGCAGACAACCCCCAGGCUCUCUGAUCCUGUUGCCAUGCGGCCGUUUCCCGGGCAACCCGUUUCCCAGUGGCUGGUGAUGGAGCAGUAAAAAACUAGAAGUGAAACAGAGAGCAUCUCCGAGGACUUCUUAUCGGCAACCACCCCUGGACAUGAGGCUGCAGCGCAUCGACUCCCUUCCUACACUGAUGCCUCUGAAAAUAAAAAGACCACAGAGCCAAGAUUGCAGUCGGUGAUGUUAUCAAGAUGCACUGUCUGGAGCUGCUCCAUUGAAAUUAAACGGGUCGAGUAGCUGUGAACUCCUGGACGGUUUGCUUCAGUUUUUACCCUGAAACGAGCUCCAAAGUAUUGCCUUGCAUUUUGGUUUAAAAUAAAAAAACGGAGUCUUGAAUCCUCCAUGAAUUCA